ACCGGGGACGCCGAAAACCGGAAACAGAGUAGGCG
ncrna:unclassified sequences DTF805b RNA